rnacentral:rRNA from 1 species
UUAGCAUAUCAAUAAGCGGAGGAAAAGAAACUAACAAGGAUUCCCCUAGUAGCGGCGAGCGAAGCGGGAAGAGCUCAAAUUUAUAAUCUGGCACCUUCGGUGUCCGAGUUGUAAUCUCUAGAAAUGUUUUCCGCGUUGGACCGCACACAAGUCUGUUGGAAUACAGCGGCAUAGUGGUGAGACCCCCGUAUAUGGUGCGGACGCCCAGCGCUUUGUGAUACAUUUUCGAAGAGUCGAGUUGUUUGGGAAUGCAGCUCAAAUUGGGUGGUAAAUUCCAUCUAAAGCUAAAUAUUGGCGAGAGACCGAUAGCGAACAAGUACCGUGAGGGAAAGAUGAAAAGCACUUUGGAAAGAGAGUUAACAGUACGUGAAAUUGUUGGAAGGGAAACGCUUGAAGUCAGACUUGCUUGCCGAGCAAUCGGUUUGCAGGCCAGCAUCAGUUUUCCGGGAUGGAUAAUGGUAGAGAGAAGGUAGCAGUUUCGGCUGUGUUAUAGCUCUCUGCUGGAUACAUCUUGGGGGACUGAGGAACGCAGUGUGCCUUUGGCGGGGGUUUCGACCUCUUCACACUUAGGAUGCUGGUGGAAUGGCUUUAAACGACCCGUCUUGAAACACGGACCAAGGAGUCUAACAUGCUUGCGAGUAUUUGGGUGUCAAACCCGGAUGCGUAAUGAAAGUGAAUGGAGGUGGGAACCGCAAGGUGCACCAUCGACCGAUCUGGAUUUUUAAUGAUGGAUUUGAGUAAGAGCACGUAUGUUGGGACCCGAAAGAUGGUGAACUAUGCCUGAAUAGGGCGAAGCCAGAGGAAACUCUGGUGGAGGCUCGUAGCGGUUCUGACGUGCAAAUCGAUCGUCAAAUUUGGGUAUAGGGGCGAAAGACUAUCUAA